rnacentral:rRNA from 1 species
UACGUAGGGGGCAAGCGUUGUCCGGAAUCAUUGGGCGUAAAGAGCGUGUAGGCGGCUCGGUAAGUCCGCUGUAAAAGUCCAGGGCUCAACCCUGGAAAGCCGGUGGAAACUGUCGAGCUAGAGUCCGGAAGAGGCGAGUGGAAUUCCUGGUGUAGCGGUGAAAUGCGCAGAUAUCGGGAGGAACACCAGUAGCGAAGGCGGCUCGCUGGGCCAUUCCUGACGCUGAGACGCGAAAGCUAGGGGAGCGAACAGG